UACGUAGGGUGCGAGCGUUGUCCGGAAUUACUGGGCGUAAAGAGCUCGUAGGUGGUUUGUCGCGUUGUUCGUGAAAACUCACAACUCAAUUGUGGGCGUGCGGGCGAUACGGGCAGACUGGAGUACUGCAGGGGAGACUGGAAUUCCUGGUGUAGCGGUGGAAUGCGCAGAUAUCAGGAGGAACACCCGUGGCGAAGGCGGCCUGCUGGGCCGAUCCUGACGCUGAGGCGCGAAGGCGUGGGGAGCGAACGGG
rnacentral:rRNA from 1 species